rnacentral:tRNA from 1 species
UAUAUUUAAAUGUAAGUAGCAUGUAAAUUUUUGAAGUUUAAAGGUAUAGUUAAAUUCUAUAAAAUAUAA